CUUGUCUUCUGGGUUUUUAAACAGCCUGUUGCUGAAUGAUCCCUCCACGCAUGUUGAUAUGGAUCCAUCCUGAGCCUCAGACUGCUUCCCUGCCACACCUGCACAUUGAUUUUAUUAACCUGAUCACUGGUCACAAAAAUCGCUGCUGAAGUUGGAGUAACUUCCUUGGAAGAAGAGGAAAUGAAAUGGAAAAACUAACAAAUGCUAGAGAAACUUCAAGGGAAACAACAACAAAGAAACUUCAUGAAACUUCAAGAAACUAACAACAUUCCAUUAUUGUUUAUCCUGCUCCAUCUAAGAGGUGGAAGGAAAGUUGCUGGGCAAGAGAGAACGGCUGGUGGAAUGAUUUCCUCAGCAAAAGCAGGAGGCUGCCAUUGGAUUCUGCUGGGGGUGCAAACUGUGAGCUCUGAGGGGUUGUGUUCCUGUCCCUCCUGCAGAGGAGAUGCCUCAGGAAAAGUGCCUGGGAAAUCCAAACUGGAUAUCACAUUCCAGUUCUCACCAAUCAACCAAUAACAGUUUGACUAACUCCAAAACCAUUUCAAUAAAAAAUGAACAGAUUUUUCAUUCAGAAA